rnacentral:rRNA from 1 species
CCUACGGGAGGCAGCAGUGAGGAAUAUUGGUCAAUGGACGAGAGUCUGAACCAGCCAAGUAGCGUGAAGGAUGACUGCCCUAUGGGUUGUAAACUUCUUUUAUAUGGGAAUAAAACGUUCCACGUGUGGGAUUUUGUAUGUACCAUAUGAAUAAGGAUAGGCUAACUCCGUGCCAGCAGCCGCGGUAAUACGGAGGAUCCGAGCGUUAUCCGGAUUUAUUGGGUUUAAAGGGAGCGUAGGUGGAUUGUUAAGUCAGUUGUGAAAGUUUGCGGCUCAACCGUAAAAUUGCAGUUGAAACUGGCAGUCUUGAGUACAGUAGAGGUGGGCGGAAUUCGUGGUGUAGCGGUGAAAUGCUUAGAUAGCACGAAGAACUCCGAUUGCGAAGGCAGUUCACUGGACUGCAACUGACACUGAGGCUCGAAAGUGUGGGUAUCAAACAGGAUUAGAUACCCUAGUAGUC